AUGUUCACGGCUUUCCAGGUGGACGAACAUAAGUUUAAGGUGUGUUCUGUUUUGGGCAUGUCAGAUUCAGAACCUGAAGACCUGGACAAAGGAAGGAACUACUUCGUGAAAGCCUCGAUAGGCCAAGGCGAAUACUAUUGCCAAUGCUGCAAGUUUGAACGGGACAAUAUUGUGUGCUGUCACAUACUAAAAGUAAUGGACAUGAACGCGGUGACACGGAUGCCCCACCAUUUCAUAAGGCGGCGGUGGACUUGGGACGCUGACGAUGCGUUGGCGCCGCAGACAACAAACGUAGUUCUGGUUGUGCAUGACGAGAGACCGGAGUCAACCAUGGAAGCCGUGAGGCACGUUGUGUUGACAAAGAAUUAUGCUGAGCUAAUUGAUGAAGCGUGCAAGAGUGAUGAGACAGUGAGAGUUGCAGAAAAACACAGGAAGGCCAUGAAAAGAGAGCUCGAUGAGAUCAAGAAUAGGAAAGCUCAGGAAGCCUUACACAGGUUCCCCGCACAUCAAGUGUGCCUUCGUCCACGGGGCCAUCAUCUGAAAACUCGGAGAUAG
rnacentral:rRNA from 1 species